AUGAGGAAAAUCAUUGUCGACAAAUACUUGAUAUCAGCAUUGGUGGAACGUUGGCGGCCCGAGACAAAUAGUUUUCACUUACCUGUAGGAUAAAUGACUAUUACACUGCAAGACGUCAGUUGUUUGUGGGGGCUGCCUAUCCAUGGUAAACCACUUGUUGGCAUAGCUGAUGCGCCAUGGUCGGAAUUAGUUGAGAGGUUGCUUGGGAUUCCCGUGGAUGAACAACACAUGAAACAAAAGAAAAGGCGAAAAAGUGAUGAUAAUAUUGUUGUGAGGGAUUCACAAUACCCUCUAAAUUUGGGCAAACUACGAGAAGGCUUCCAUGUGUUGCCAGAUAAUCCAAUGGAUAGGGAGAUUAAUUGGCAUGCUCGAGCACUUGUUCUAGAAAUCCUUGGCUCCAUAGUCUUUACGGAUACAUCUGGAGAUGGAGUGCAGAGGGCAUGUCGAAUAGUGGCAGCUUGUGACAUGACACAGGAAACUGCAAAACUUUUUUGGCUUUGUUGUGCCACGCAUUCAUGA
rnacentral:rRNA from 1 species